UACGUAGGGUGCGAGCGUUGUCCGGAAUUAUUGGGCGUAAAGAGCUCGUAGGCGGCCUGUCGCGUCGGAUGUGAAAGCCCCGGGGCUUAACCCCGGGUCUGCAUUCGAUACGGGCAGGCUAGAGUUCGGUAGGGGAGAUCGGAAUUCCUGGUGUAGCGGUGAAAUGCGCAGAUAUCAGGAGGAACACCGGUGGCGAAGGCGGAUCUCUGGGCCGAUACUGACGCUGAGGAGCGAAAGCGUGGGUAGCAAACAGG
rnacentral:rRNA from 1 species